GGCUUCCGGUGACUCAGAGCAGUGAGCAGGAGCCUGGAUGUCCACAGUUCUAGAUGUGAAAACCUAGGUGACUUCAUUAAAGAAAUGCCACCCCAAGCUCCCACCUCUGCCUGGGAGGCACAUGGAGCAUUUUUCUGCCCCUAGCCCACCCCUGAUCUGUGCAGGCUUCAGGGAGCCAGAUAUGGAUUCUAGGUAGAAACCUGUGUUCCCUGAUGUUCCACUGGAAGUUGCAGAGUUUAACAGGCUACGGGCUAACAAAUAUUUUGAAAGGCCUUGGAACACCCAGCAUCCUCCCACCUUGCUCCAAGCAAAAUGCAAUGUGCCUUCCAUCUCAUCUUCGGCAUUUCCCCAGCCCUUCUCAGCAUGAGCUAAAUGGCACACUUCAUCGACCGGUCAAUAAGUCAUGUUUAUCGAACUGACAGUGUGUGACGCAGGGGUGUGGGAGCUGCAAAGAUGGGUGAGCAGGGAAAAAAACAACCCAGUCAAAUGUUAGGGUUUAUGUAUAAAGAAGGCGGCUCUUCACUUCUCUUUCCCCAGCCUGGACAUUCACCAACCCUCCUUUCCAAAAGCUCCACAAGGAGAUGGGCAUCAUGAUCACCCUGAACUCAAAAGCCCUUUCUUUAUGUGGUGCUGACCUCUAGAGGCUUCUAAUUAAAAAGCAUCCGAAAGGGCCAACUUAAUUUUACUGCUGGUUUUUACACUGUACAUUGUUGCCCUAUUUCCCAACAAAAUAAGGAUAAAAUAUGUUACUUUAAAUGAUCCCUAAAAAAAUGCCUACCUUGUUCCUUGACUGCCUAAUUAAAACUUGCCCAGAUCAUUACAAAUGCCAUUGUUUACUCCAAAAAGGAAAAAAGGAGGGUUAGAGAUAGGGAAAGUACUUCAGUUUUUUGUUUUUUUUUUUUUUGCCUAUUGUGGUCCUAAGAGGAAAGCACAGUGCCAGCUUUUUCAGGAUGCAUUUCUUGAGUUUCCAAAGGGCCAAGUCUGCUAAACAGAGACAGGAAUGUUCAUUCACUCUGAUUUGGCAGGGCACAGGGCAAAACCACCCUGACACUCAGGUACACGGACAGCAAGUCCACUUUGUCCAGCCCCGGCGUGGCGUCCAAAUGCUGGGUGGUGGGUCUGGUUCUGUUUAUUUUGUUGUCCUUCAACCCAAACCUGUACACAAAGAACUCUAUGACAAUGGAGGAUCCCACUCGGCCCAACUUCACUAUGGAAACGAGGCUCAUUUCUAAAGGGAGUGAGACUGUUGAUUACAUCCCUAAGCUGAACACCCCAAUUUUACUUUGUUGUAGUUCUGACUCCUUAUUACUUUCACGAAGGGAAGGAAGGUGUGGAAAGGCAGGAGAAAACACGCAGGGACAUAAGCAUUUGGGCUAACACACAGCCACGAUAUCAACUGGCGUCUUCAAUUCUAAAAGGGAUCCUAGGGGAAAGAGCUUCAGAAUCCCAGGACAGUUUUGCCAAUCCUGGCCGCCCCACCCUGGUUCUGUGAGUGUUUCCAUUACAACUGUGCUUCAUGUCCUCUCUACCGACUCCUGACUCCCCUAGACAAGUCAGGGCUAGUGCCCAAAGGGAACUCGGGGACAAGUCUCCCACUCUUUAUUUUUACAGAUGAGGAAACAAAGCCGGAAGUCGGUGGGGUGGGGAGGGGACAUGCCUAGGGCCACAGUCAGCCCAGGAGGAGUCUGGGCUAGAACCUCUUGCCCUCAGCCACUGAUUUCAGAAUGAUUACACGGGGGAAAUGUGGGUAUUUUUAACACCAGUGCCCGCACUUAAAGGGGCCAACCUGCAUUUUAUAAACUCUAUCUGUGAGACGGAUACAAUAACUGUAACAAAGGAAGUCCAUAAGUAAGACUUCGCCUGCCCCCGCUGCUGCACCACGAGCAGGGUUGGGACUGCUGACACAGAGCUCACCACUUGAGUACAAUCUCUAACAGCCACAUCGAAAACAAAGGACCACACACUAUCUAACAUACACACAAGCCUUUAUGCUGUGCCUGUAAAGCAAAACUCAAAUCUAAUCGAAUCUAAUGGGUCUCUCUAUGGAGACCCAUUCAUUUGGAGAAAGAAACUGGCUCUUAAUCAAAUAACAGAACUUACCAUCAACUUCCAGAUGAGUUAUUUAAAUGCCAUGUUUGGUGAAUAAAUAACCGGGAGGAAGGUGGUGGAGACAUGGUGUCAUGUCAUAGAAUGACCACAGAAUACAGAUUUCUAAUUAAUGCCAAAAAGAAUUCCUAAGUAGGCUAGAAAAAAUAGGGUUCUCAAACACAAAACUAAAGUAUUGGUUCAAAGAAGUAGAAAAUUACUAACUACCAGUUAUAGCAUCACAAUAGACA
rnacentral:lncRNA from 10 species